UCGUUUAUAUCUUUUGAUAGGCCUCUGUUAGAUAUUGGGUGCCUGUACCCCAUUCUCGCUAUAUUUUUUGAUAGGCCUCUGUUAGUAGUAGGGUGUCUGUGCCCCAUUUCCUUGUAUUUGUACCUGUACAGAGAUGAUGUAUUAGAUGAUGAUAUACUUAGGAAUGUAUGCACAGUUUUUUCCAUUCCCUAUAUCAUAUUGCC
rnacentral:lncRNA from 1 species